AACGCACAUUGCGCCCGCUGGUAUUCCAGCGGGCAUGCCCGUUCGAGCGUCAUUUUAAUCCCUUCCCGGGAGACUCUUCUAUUCUGUAGUGGAGUGUCCACGGGGCGUUGGCACUGGGCGCCUUGUUUUUUUAGGCGGCCGGAGCUGAAAUGAAGCGGCGGACUCGCGGCGGCCCCUAGCGCAGUAGAACAACCCUUCUCGCUUAGGAGAGCUGUAGCGGUGGACCACAGCCCUUACAUGCUUUUUUUUUUUUUUAAAAAAAAAAGCUACAUCUAAAAACUUGACCUCGGAUCGGGUAGGACUACCCGCUGAACUUAA
rnacentral:misc_RNA from 1 species